UACGGGGGAUGCGAGCGUUAUCCGGAAUGAUUGGGCGUAAAGGGUCCGCAGGUGGCCCGGUCAGUCCGCUGUCAAAGCCUGGGGCUCAACCCUGGAGAGGCGGCGGAGACCACCGGGCUUGAGUCCGGUAGGGGCAGAUGGAAUUCCGGGUGUAGCGGUGGAAUGCGUAGAGAUCCGGAAGAACACCGGUGGCGAAGGCGGUCUGCUGGGGUGAUGCUGACACUGAUGCGCGACAGCGUGGGGAGCAAACAGG
rnacentral:rRNA from 1 species